CCCAUUUUGCCCAACCCAGUAUCCAAAUAAAUUACAAACCCAAAAAUUAAAAAUUAAAACCCCUAACCCAUUUACAAAAUUAACCCAGCACCCUGGCCCAAUAAGUCAUGCCCACGUGAGACCAGAGUUUCAGAGAUUGAAACCCUAGUACCUUACUUGCCACCGCCCUAAACGCUGUGCUCCACUUGCCUCUGCUCCACUGCCAUUGUCAUGCCAUCAAGUACCUGCAAACAUUUAAAGAGAAAUGACAGCACUAGCAAUAGGAAAGAUGUAUAAAAGCCGAACUUGGCUAUAGUUUUAAGGAUCGGCUUCCCUUAUUUUCUUUUGUAAAAAAGAAACAUCACUUAGAAAUAUAAAAGCAAAGAGAAACAGAUUCCAGCAAAAAAAAGGCAUAAAAGGAUUCAAGGUUUCUUUCCCUUUUAUCUAUU
rnacentral:lncRNA from 1 species